rnacentral:lncRNA from 1 species
UGUCUGCUGCUGGUCUCUGGCUUUGCCCAGGCAGGCAGGCUGAUGCUGGUGCCCAUAGAUGACUAUCACUGGUUUACCAUGCAGAGAAACUCAGCCACAGAGGGCAUGAGGUGGUGGGAGUCAUGCCAGAGAUGAGUUGGCACCUGGUGCAAUCUCUGAAUUUAUGGUAAAGUCUUAGUCAAUGUCUCACACUCAGGAGGAUCUGGACCACAAAUUGAAGAUUUUUAUUGACAGGGAAAGACAGAGUAAGAUAAUAACUUUCUCUAUUAAUGACUUUAUCAAAUGGUGUUUUUGAAUCUUUCUUCACACAUGGAAGGAAUUUGUCUAGUAACAACAUGCUAGUGAGUACUUGAAGCAGAUAUCAUUUGCUGCUGUGUUUCCCCAUCCUUUUGCUAUGUGUGGCUUGACUCAGCUAAGUACUUUUCACCCCAUCCAUGGCCUUCAACAGGGAACUCUUUUUGCCACCAUCUUAAAGAGGGUGCUCAAUGAUUUUUUUGUUACAUUCACAGAGCCCUUUUGGGAUUCACUGAUACCAUGACUUUCAAAGAAUGAGUGGGGUACCAUCUCUGCUACAUGUGGGAGUGUGCAUUUUGCCCUUGUUUUUUCUAUCCUGCCCUAGAACUUGCCUCUGAAAUCUCAGAUACCUGUCACAGUGCCUGACCUCUUCAGCCAAGUGUUCAUUUGGGUGUUAAACACUGCUGUAGUGUUGUAGUUUCCCAGACCUGUGAUGCGUAACAUAGUCUUCAUUGAUGGUGUCAACUGUCAUCAGGGAAAGCCACUGCCC